CCUACGGGCGGCAGCAGUGGGGAAUAUUGGACAAUGGGGGGAACCCUGAUCCAGCCAUGCCGCGUGUGUGAAGAAGGCCCUCGGGUUGUAAAGCACUUUCAGUGAGGAAGAACGCCUGGUGGUUAAUACCCAUCAGGAAAGACAUCACUCACAGAAGAAGCACCGGCUAACUCCGUGCCAGCAGCCGCGGUAAUACGGAGGGUGCGAGCGUUAAUCGGAAUUACUGGGCGUAAAGCGCGCGUAGGUGGCUUGAUAAGCCGGUUGUGAAAGCCCCGGGCUCAACCUGGGAACGGCAUCCGGAACUGUCAAGCUAGAGUGCAGGAGAGGAAGGUAGAAUUCCCGGUGUAGCGGUGAAAUGCGUAGAGAUCGGGAGGAAUACCAGUGGCGAAGGGGCCUUCUGGACUGACACUGACACUGAGGUGCGAAAGCGUGGGUAGCAAACAGGAUUAGAUACCCUGGUAGUC
rnacentral:rRNA from 1 species